AGGCAGAGGUUGCAGCAGUGAGCCAAGAUAGCACCACUACACUCCAGCCUAAGCAACAGAGUGAGGCUCGGUCUUAAGAAAAAAAAAAAAAGAAAGUGUUCAAUGAACCAAUUGUUGAAGAAAGAAGAUUGGCAAUUUCUAAGGUACCUUCUACCUCUGGAAAUCUAGGAUUUCAAGACAUCUUCUGCUUGGUGGUACUAAGCAUUGCUGUUCAUUUCUAAAUUCAAGAAAGAGUUCUGGUUUAAGUCCUUUCUCUUUUCUGAUUCCCGCAAAAUACAGAUGUUCUUUCAAGCAAUGUAUUUAGCUAACAAAAGUUCCCUAAAGCAAAAUAGUAGAUGUCCAUGAGCUUGGCAGAGGGGAAUUUUAGAGCAAUUUUUAUUUACUGCUUGAUUGCAAAGAUCACUCUUAACUCUUGCCUUAUUUUUAUCCUAUGCAACAUAACAAAACAAAAAGGGUAAAACAUUAGGCACAAAAAUUAGAAGCACGCUGCACACUCUAGGUCCUUCACUCUGUCUAGAUUUCCAAAUGACCACCACCUUCAUUACUUCCUGUCCAUCCUGGGACCCACGAUAAACCGCUUCUACUAUGUCCUCUCUUUCACUAGCCCCCUUUUCCUUUUGACCUUCAUAAUCCCUAGUCCUGAGCUGCUCAUUACUACUGGAAAGAAUCCUUCAACCAGGCCAAAGGCUCUGCCUGAAGUUCAUGCAUCUUUGCCCUAACUUUCUAAUCAUUCAUGCAUGAUCAUCUACCCAUUUCCCUCAGAAGCUAUUCAAAUCUUUGUCCUUCUUGACCUCUUUGUGCAACUACACUACUACUGACCAUGCUCUUCUUAGACCUCUCUGCUUUCCUGUCACCAUCUGCUUCAUUCUCUUUCUCUUGGCCUUGAAAGCUCCUUCUCAGACUCUUUUAUAUUCAGAUGCUUUUCAAGUUUCUGUCCAGGCCUUCUUUGUUUCCUCUCUAUUCUCAUUUCCUGGAUAACAACAUUCAGUCUCAAUGAAGCAAUUAUCUCCUUCACAAACAGUAAAGGACCACACACCUUGGACAUAAUUCUGGCCCUCAUCACUAGCUGUUUUGGUUUUCUGCAGGUUAACUCACUGUAGUCUCUGGUGACUCAUCUCUUAAAUGGAGAUAAAAGUAGCUACCUCAAAGGGCUGUGAAGAUUAAAUGAGGUAACAUAUAUCAAUAUCAAGUACCUAGUACGGUGCCUAGAACACAGUAGAGGUAACUCGGUAUCACGAGCGCUGGCCUCUCCUGCAACCCUACACCCACGUUUCUAAUUGUAUGAUAAACAUUUCUAUCUUCAUAUCCACCAACAACUCAAAUCUGGCCUGCUUAAGACCAAACUCAUCAUUGUCUUCCCUCUCUUGCAGUUUCCCAUCUUAAUUAUACCCUAAGAGCUCAUGCUGGGAUUUCUAAGCAUGUUCACUUCAUCACAUCCCCCCAACUCUUUACACAAAAUUAGUCUUUGCACUGUCUUGUACUUCUGUCCUGCUACUAUACCUCAGGCCUCACAGAGGGAAAAUUUACUGUCAGUCCCCUUAUCCUUGGGGGAUAUGUUCCAAGACCCCCCAGUGGAUGCUUGAAACCGCAGAUAGUACCAAACCUUGUAUAUACUAUGCUUUUUCCUAUAUAUUCACACCUACGAUAAAGUUUAAUCUUUUAAUUAGGCCAAGACAUG